UAAUACGUAGGGUGCGAGCGUUAAUCGGAAUUACUGGGCGUAAAGCGUGCGCAGGCGGAUUGUUAAGCAAGAUGUGAAAUCCCCGGGCUUAACCUGGGAAUGGCAUUUUGAACUGGCAAUCUAGAGUGUGUCAGAGGGGGGUAGAAUUCCACGUGUAGCAGUGAAAUGCGUAGAGAUGUGGAGGAAUACCGAUGGCGAAGGCAGCCCCCUGGGAUAACACUGACGCUCAUGUACGAAAGCGUGGGUAGCAAACAGGAUUAGAUACCCUGGUAGUCCACGCCCUAAACGAUGUCAACUGGUUGUUGGGAGAGUGAAAUCUCUUAGUAACGAAGCUAACGCGUGAAGUUGACCGCCUGGGGAGUACGGUCGCAAGAUUA
rnacentral:rRNA from 1 species